GGAUUUUUUCCUUAUCUUGAUUUUUGCUCAUAAUUGUUUCUGUGUUGCAUCAGCACAUAUUUACAUGAAUGCUUUUGAUAUGAAUCGUAAUUUAUCACAAUUAAGGUUAAUAAAAAAUCCCUUUUAUUAGUGUAACUCCUUUAAGUAAGGAGUGAAAGUUAGCAAAAUAUUAAAAACAUCAAACAAAGAUACUAAAACAAGAUACAAACAAACUAAAAAUGUAUUCACCAAAUAAUAUCAAAAUUAAUGUCACCUUUUGUUUAGUGGCUUAACAGAACAUUCAGGGAUAAUAUGCAAAAUUGACUAAGACCAUUUCAAAAAAAUUGUCAAUUUUUUUAUUUGAAAAUAAAUAGUUCGGGACCCCAUAGCGUUGCCUCCCAUGCUGACGCUUGAUAUAUUUUUUGCUAUGAUUACACUUUUGCUCCAGGCCCACUAUAUAUUAAUUCAAUUAUUGAUAUUUAGUCUCAGGGAAAACUUAUAAGUAAACACAUUGAAUUAAGUAUUUUGAAAUAAUUCCAUUUUAUAUUAUUCUUGAUUAAAAUCCGCUUAACUUGUCUCUAAUGUACUAUUUGGAGAGUAAUCCGAUUUUCAAUCAAGGUUGAAUUUUUGCAAUCUUUAAAACGUUAUCCAAUGUGCUUCCUAUAAGCAAAAAAAAGUGAAGUUCCUAAAUAUUAUAAAUAAAUGGUGAUGAUCAACUUCUUAAGAUAACGCAAAAGUAUUGUAUAUAUAGUUUCUGCUCAGAAUAUACCGUAUUGUACCAAAAAUGGAUUUGUCUAAUAAACUAUUAUUAUCAUUGAAUAAUAAUAAUAACAACCCGGGAAGAAGUUAAUAAAAUUAUAUCAAAAAAGAAAUAUCUUACAAGAAUCCAGGAUUGGUCGUUUAGACAACUAUUAUCUAUAUGUUUGUCAUAUGAAUUAAUAAACAGUGUGGUCCUGAUUUGGAAUCUCAUCAUAAAAAAAUUGCUCACGGGUAAUUGUUUUUAUUGGAAUAGGUAUGUAUUUAUACUUUUUACAGUUGUAAUAUUGCCUUACAAUUGACCAAUAUAUCAUUUAAUGUGCUUGCACUUACUAUGGACAACUUUGAGGAGAUGCCUCGUUACUUACUUGCAGUUGUUACGGGGUAUUGAAUAAUUCUUGCAUUAUCUCUUUAACUGUAUUUUGAAGAAGUUAGAGAGUUUCAAUAAUCUUGCUGUGCACAUCAAUAAGAAGUUGUUGAAUUUUAUAAACGAGAUAUCCAAAACAAAUAUAUGUUAUGUCUGAAAAAAAAUGGAAACAAAAAGGUUGGCGAUUACAAAUUUGAUAUGCGCUGGUCAGGACACCUCAGACAUAAUCAAGUUGCUCAAGGUCAACUGUAAUACCUUCUACCUUAUUUGCAAGGCCUGGGAAGAUUGGUGUCAACUCUCAAGGAUUGUCCUCGAACCGGUCAGCCAGUCAAUCUAAUCCCUAAAGCUGAAAAAAAACCGGACUUGAGGCCUGCAUAGCCAUGUCAAUGCCCGAAUUUAGAAAAAAACAACUAGAUCUGUCUACCAUGUGAAAGGCUGCUGAAGCGAAUUCCAAGAGGUUUGAGGAGAGGCCAUUCUAUAAAUAAUUCCACAUGGAGUGUUGUUAGAGGCUUCUUAAUGAGCAUAUCAAGAACUUCUGGUCAUCAUCUCGUAGCCCGGACCUUAACUUGCUUGACUAAAAUAUUUGGUGGAAAGUGGAGUACAAAGCUUAGUAACAUAGUCAACCUGAAGUAUUUUUUGAUAAUAGUUUAUUUAUUUAAAAAUAAUCUAUUCUCUACAGUCCACAACAUUUAAUAUUAUUUUCUCGAACUACUUUUUAGAUAAUAAGUAUACGACAUAAUAAUAAAAAGUAUCACUUCAUCUUCUGGUCACCCUGAAGCCCGGACCUCAACCCAUUGUACUACAAUAUUUAGUGCAAGUGGAUUCUAAAGUCUGUCAAGUCCGCCACCGUAAUAUUGCCGAUCUCAAGUUCCUCGUGAAUAAAGAGUGGAAGAAGAUUAGACACAGUUACAUAUCUGCCCCGCUUGAACGCUGUCAUUGCCACCAAUGAUGGCCACAUUUACAAAUAAGGUUCCCAUAUAAUAUUGAAAAAGUCUUUGUUCGAUGUCUACCAUUUCUAUUUACUUCAUUCAGUGUAAAAUGAAGUACAGCAUGCAAGGUAGUUCAAAAUUUAUUCACUAACACGGUACGGACAACGUCUUCCGAAAUUUCUGCAGCUUUUAUCUGGGAGACCUUGAUAAGCAUGUCAAUAAAGAAUUCAAAAUUAUGAAGAUCUUUCUAAAUCAACUGACUGUCCCUUCACUCAAAUUACCAUGAUUUAUUCCCAUAUAAUUAAUCAAAAUAUUUAAAAAGAGAAUGUAUUGAAAAGUUUACUUUUUACCAUAUUUAUAAAUAAUACCAGUGAUUUUCAGUAAUCUAAGAUUCAAAAAUAUUCAAUUAGAAGAUCUACAAUUUUAAGUUUUAGUAAAUAAAUUUUAUUAGUUUUGAUCGAAAAAUAA
rnacentral:lncRNA from 1 species